rnacentral:rRNA from 1 species
UGACCUCAGAUCAGGUAGGACUA